AAUGUUGUUAAAUGAAAAGCAAACAGUAAUUACAUAGGCUGGAGCCCCCUGGACUGCGCCAGCGAGGGGAGCGUGAUGUUGCAAAACUUAGCCAGAAGGGAAAGGCAGAGAGGAAUGGAGGGGAGGGGUGGAGGAAGAGGAGAAGUGGUGUGGAGAACAGCAGGAGAAUGGAGAAAUCGAGCCGAAGAGGUAGUGAUGGAGAGAGUCUCUGCAUUUCAAGUGCUUAACAGUGACCUUAGAAUGUCCCUCUACGUGUUUCACUCUCAGGCUCUCUUUCUCUCUCUCACUCACUCUGCAUUACAACGCUGCAGUUCUUCAGACCUUUAUCGUCCCGGGAACAACUACAAGACUGUCUGCAGGAGGAUGCAGCCCUUCCUACCUUUGUUUCUCUUGUCGUCCCUCAUUUUCUACAACUUUAUGAUGUGUGGACAGUGAACAGUGAUGCUGAGGCCUGAGAGCAGAGGAGAAUUUGUCUGAAUUUAAGAGUUAAGAUUUUUCUUUCGUACCUGGGUCCAGUUCAUGGCAAAUUUGCUGGGGUCCAGCUUGUAGCAUGAGGUGAAUGCACAGGGGAUUCUGACAUCAGUCCCAUUGAGUGCGUAGAUCUGUGGUGGCACCAGCACAUCCAUGGAGUUCACUGGACAGGCUACAAGAGAGCUAAAUUAGGACAUUUCCAUCAGGAAACACCACUUUAAUGAAGGGGUGUAAAUUGGGUACCACAACAGUCUACAGGUAGGUGAUAA